rnacentral:rRNA from 1 species
ACCGCCGGCUAACUCUGUGCCAGCAGCCGCGGUAAUACAGAGGGUGCGAGCGUUAAUCGGAUUUACUGGGCGUAAAGCGUGCGUAGGCGGCUGAUUAAGUCGGAUGUGAAAUCCCUGAGCUUAACUUAGGAAUUGCAUUCGAUACUGGUCAGCUAGAGUAUGGGAGAGGAUGGUAGAAUUCCAAGUGUAGCGGUGAAAUGCGUAGAGAUCUGGAGGAAUACCGAUGGCGAAGGCAGCCAUCUGGCCUAAUACUGACGCUGAGGUACGAAAGCAUGGGGAGCAAACAGGAUUAGAUACCCUGGUAGUCCAUGCCGUAAACGAUGUCUACUAGCCGUUGGGGCCUUUGAGGCUUUAAUGGCGCAGCUAACGCGAUAAGUAGACCGCCUGGGGAGUACGGUCGCAAGACUAAAACUCAAAUGAAUUGACGGGGGCCCGCACAAGCGGUGGAGCAUGUGGUUUAAUUCGAUGCAACGCGAAGAACCUUACCUGGCCUUGACAUACUAGAAACUUUCCAGAGAUGGAUUGGUGCCUUCGGGAAUCUAGAUACAGGUGCU